CUAUCGGUGGUUGGUUCUGGCUCGGAUUCGAGGACCACAAUGGCGAUAAGGUCCUGCAGUGGACGGAUCGAUCGCCGGCAGAUUACUUGAAUUUCGGGAGUUCCAACUUGCCCUCUGGUCGCAGGCUGUGCUCGAACAUGCAGUCAAACUCUGACAAAUGGAGUGUUUCUCAGCAUUGUACGAGCAACGCACAAAGCAGCGUAUGCAAGAAACCAGCAAACCAACUGCCUUGUGAAGCCGCCAUUUGCCUGAAUGGAGGAAUCUGCGUGCCAAGUGGUUCAAGCUACACUUGCAAAUGCGAGAAAGGCUACACUGGCAAGUACUGUCAGAAAGAUGUUGACGAGUGCAAUACGGCCAACUGUAAC